CUCCUCCCUCAGAGCCGCCGCGAGCGGGCCGGGCCUGCGCUCCGUGCUGAAAAACAAAUCCGCUAGCUGCUUCUCGGAACUCCCGAGCUCUCGGCGAGUUCUUGAAUCUCAGGAAGUGUGCUCAAGAAUUUUAGGAACUACAAAAUGAAUCUUAAUCCAGCACUGAAACAAGAGAUACUAUGAUGAGUACCUUCACUGCUGGAGACAGAAGAAACUUCAAAAAAUACUUGACUUCUACACUGUUCAGUCUUUAUACUGGUGUCUUUAAUCAGUGAAUCGGUGUCAUUAUGGUUACUCAGAAGAGGGUGACACAAAACUGAGUGGUGGAGUUGAUACAUCUGAAGGACAGGAUGCCAUCCAGAGGGAGCUGGACAAGCUUGAGAAAUGGGAAGCUUGUUUGACAAGAUCAAGUGUAAGAUGCUACACCUGUGUCAUGGCAACUCUCAUAUCAAUCCAGGCUGGGGUAUGAUUCACUCCCAAAAUGACUUGGGAGUGCUGCUGCUGAGAGGGCUGGGCACAACCCAGCACAC